rnacentral:rRNA from 1 species
GACGAACCGUGCGAACGUUGUUCGGAUUCACUGGGCUUAAAGGGCGCGUAGGCGGGUGAUCAAGUCCGGGGUGAAAUACUUCAGCUUAACUGGAGAAUAGCCUUGGAUACUGGUCGUCUUGAGGGAGGUAGGGGCAUGUGGAACUUCCGGUGGAGCGGUGAAAUGCGUAGAUAUCGGAAGGAACGCCGGUGGCGAAAGCGACGUGCUGGACCUCUUCUAACGCUGAGGCGCGAAAGCCAGGGGAGCAAACGGG